UAUAUCGAUAAAAAGGGCCUCGUUGUGUGGACGGGUGCAGGGUUAAAUCGGUUUAACGCUGCUAAAUUCGAUUUCAACGCGUAGUGUAAACUAGGCCUUAGAGUGAGAGAAGGCUGAAGG